rnacentral:rRNA from 1 species
CGCAAGCCUGACGGAGCAACGCCGCGUGAGGGAGGAAGGCCUGUGGGUUGUAAACCUCUUUUCUCAGGGAAGAAGAUCUGACGGUACCUGAGGAAUCAGCAUCGGCUAACUCCGUGCCAGCAGCCGCGGUAAGACGGAGGAUGCAAGCGUUAUCCGGAAUUAUUGGGCGUAAAGCGUCCGUAGGCGGCUAAUCAAGUCUGCUGUCAAAGCCCACAGCUCAACUGUGGAGAGGCAGUGGAAACUGAAUAGCUAGAGUGUGGUAGGGGCAGAGGGAAUUCCUGGUGUAGCGGUGAAAUGCGUAGAUAUCAGGAAGAACACCAGUGGCGAAGGCGCUCUGCUGGGCCAUAACCGACGCUGAUGGACGAAAGCUAGGGGAGCG